rfam:Schistosoma mansoni strain Puerto Rico chromosome 6, complete genome
AUCCAUCUGACGAGUCCCAAAUAGGACAAAACGCAAGUCUUGAAU